rnacentral:rRNA from 1 species
GACUACAAGGGUAUCUAAGCCGGUUCGCUCCCCACGCUUUCGUGCCUUAGUGUCAGAAAUGGUCCAGUUACCUGCCUACGCCAUUGGUGUUCCUUCUAAUAUCUACGGAUUUCACUCCUACACUAGAAAUUCCAGUAACCUCUACCAUUCUCGAGUUUGUGAGUUCGAAUAAUAGCCUGUACGGUUGAGCCGCCAGAUUUCACUAUUCGCUUUACAAACCACCUACGCAACUCUUUACGCCCAGUCACUCCGGAUAACGCUUGGGUCCUACGUAUGACCGCGGCUGCUGGCACGUAGUUAGCCGACCCUUAUUCAUUUGUUACCGUCAUAUUCUUCACAAAUAAAAGCAGUUUACGACCCGAAGGCCUUCAUCCUGCACGCGGCGUUGCUCCAUCAGGCUUUCGCCCAUUGUGGAAGAUUCCCCACUGCUGCCUCCCGUAGG